GACGAACCGUGCGAGCGUUGUUCGGAAUCACUGGGCUUAAAGGGCGCGUAGGCGGGCGUGAAAGUCAGGGGUGAAAGCCCACGGCUCAACCGUGGAGGGUCAUUGGAAACUGGGGGACUUGAGUGCAGAAGAGGAGAGCGGAAUUCCUGGUGUAGCGGUGAAAUGCGUAGAUAUCAGGAGGAACACCUGUGGUGUAGACAGCUUACUGGACCAUAACUGACGCUGAGGCACGAAAGCGUGGGUAGCAAACAGG
rnacentral:rRNA from 1 species